GUUUGGUAAGAACAGUUUAUAAAUGUAAUUUACGAAGUUUAUAAAUGUUAUAAUAGUUUAUAAAUGUUUGGCAGCAGCACUUCGCUGCAAACAACAGCAAGAAGUGUGUCGCAGCAACAGAAGCAGUGUAGCAGAAGCAACAGAAGUAGUUUAACCUUCUCUCAAGAAUCUAUUAGUGCUAGAGCAAAAGUUACUGCCAUCCAUGGCUAGUGCUAGAGCAAAAGUUACUGGCGUAUUUUGGGAGAACCUAGGCUUUUUUGCACAUGCUUAGGUAGUAGCUUAAUUUUAUGAAUAGUUUGGUUUAUUGUGGUUUAUUUUGUCGAUUGAAAAGUGAAUUUGAGAUGUAUAUAUGGAUAAUUUGGUAUAUAUUUUGUGGAUAUAGUAAUUUGAAAUUGUAAACGAAUGGUAUUAUUAAGAUGUAUUUUGAAUGGUUGAUACAUUUUGGCUUUAAUUUUAAAUGAGAAUUUUAGACUUUUUAGCUAUAUAUCAUGGCAUUAGCAUAUUGCAGGUGCAUUGGUAAUAUAGAUGAAUCACAACAUUUUUUUUCUUUUUUUAUCUAUAAUAUUUUAAAAAUGUUGUAUAUUUGUAUAAAUAAAUGACACCUUCUAAAUAGAUGACACAUUAUAAACGUUGUGUAAAUGUGCCUAAACAUUGUCUGAUAUAUUAAACUACAACAUUUUUAUCUAGAAAACGUUGUGGAAUCAUACCUUCUACAACGUUUUUAAGCAUCUGCUAAUUUAUGGAAAACAAAUCUACAACGUUUUUUUCUUAAAAAAUGUUGUGUAAUGUGCUUAACUACAACGUUUUAAAAACGUUGUGUAAGGGUGUCAAAUAGAUGACACUCUUAACCACGACGUUUUUCUGACUGAAACCACAACGUUUUUUCUGCGUUGUCUAUUUACUGUUUUGUUGUAGUACGAUUAGAUAAUUAACAACAGAAUUGAAAAUAAUCGUGGUCAAAUUAGGUUGACCAAACUGUCUCAUGAAUGUUUUCUGGAAAACCAUGAUCUUCAACAGCCAAACUUUCUGACAAGGUUUGACCGACUUGAAUCUUAUGAUUGUGUUGAUAAUAGACUGAUAUUAUGUUAUAGGAUUGCUCUUUUACAUGUUUACUACAAGCAUGAACCUUUACAACACACUAAGCAAGCUCAGUAUGCAAGUUAUAGAGAUCAUAAGUGGCCAACUCGGACUGUUUUUCAUUUCUGGAAAACCCAGAAAUGAAGAAUAGCUUCUGACACAUUUUCUGAAGCUUUAAUCUCUCAGUUUAGUUAUAGUUUGGUCAUGGAAUCGAUUGAUGGUUGUAGUAUUACAUGUACACUACAAUAUUAAAGCAAAUACAGGCCCAUAAAUCAAGUGGAACAUGGAUUAAAUUAUGGUUAAACUAGCUACCUUGGUGUCUGACAUGAACAUUUUGGGUUUGCUGAAGAACACAAUCAGCGACGGUUUUGUCACUAAGGCCACUUUUAGCGACAUUUAAUUUCUGAAAAUAAUUAUUUUAUUUAAAAAUUAGAGAAAAUUGGUUUUUAAUUAUGAAAAAUACAAAAUAAAUUUCUAAAAAUUAUUUUAAAGCCUAAAAAUUAGUUUUUAAUAAUUUUGAAUAUAUUUCAUUAAUAUUUAAUAUUUUUGGAAUAUUAAGGGUAAUUAAUUUAUUUAAUUAUAAUAUUAAAUAAAUUAUUCAAAAAUGAUUUUAAUAUUUGAAAAAUCAUGAAAAAUUAUAUUAUGGUGUUAGAAAAUAUUUUAUGUUAUUUCUAAUAACUUUUGAUAUUUUGUGAUGAAAUUCAUUAAAAAAUUAAUAUUAACUAUAAUGGAUUUAUUUAAUGAAUAUAUUAAAUAAAUUAUGGAAAAAUAGAAUUAAUGUUUUAAAAAUCAUAUAAAAAUGAUUUAAGUGUUAUAAGAAUAUUUUAAGUUAUAAAAUAUAACUUUUGAUAUUUUUUCAUGAAAGUAUUAAUAUUUUAAUAUUAAUAACAAUUAUCGGAUAAUGAAUUUAAUUGUUUAAAAAUCAUAUAAAUAUGAUUUUAAGGUAUUAAAAAUACUUUGAUAUACUAUAAAUAUAUUAUAAUAUUAUGUUAUGAUUUUCAUUAAUAUUUAAUAUUAAAUAAAUAUUAAUGAUAAGAGAAUAAUGUGGUAUUUAUAUUAUAUAAAUACGAUAUAAUUGAUUGAAAAAUUAUGAUAAAUGGUAAUAAUUACUUGAAAAUUAUUACGAGCUUAUGAAAAAUGUUUUGACUAAUAAUAAAAUUAUCUAAGAUAAUUAUUAAUUGUUAGGCAGAGUUUAAUUGAACUUAAACUCGAUAUUUAUCCGACUAAGCCGUCGGGAUGUUAGAAUUGUGUCGGAUUCAACUCAAAGUGAAAGAGUUUGACUUGAUAUCGAGUUUUAGUAGUUUAUGGAUUGAUAGGGUUAUGUGUUAUGUGUUUAGGUUGUUCUAUAUAUAUAUAUAUUGUGUUAGGAAUAACCAUGUGAAUGAUAUUCCUAUUUACAUAUGAUUUGAUUAUGAUAUAUAUAUAUGAAUGAAUAUGCAAGUAUGCUUGCAUUAAGAAAAGCUGUAAAGUCCUUUGAUAGAUUAUAGAAACAUAUGUACAAGCAAAAUAGCUUUGUAAAGUCCUUAAAAAGAAAUGAUGUACAAGGACUAUAAAUAUAGAAAGAUCAAGCAUGUUAGAUUGAUCUUAUGAUGUAAUAGAUAGGCUUGUCUGAUCGUCAAGCACUGCACCAGAAAUCGUAGUCUGCCAGGAAAGUCAAGGAUAACUCGAGAGCUAUCGAGGCAGAAUCGUAGUCUGCAAGAUAGUAGAUCUCGGAGUUCGUAGACUGCCAAGAGAGACGAGGAAGGAUCGUAGUGUGUCGGGUAAAGCUUCCUCGGAGUCGUAGUCUGCUGAGAAAGUCAUGUACAGAAUCGUAGAGACAGCCUGCCUACGAGACGACCGAGCAUCUGUCAAAGAUAAGUCAAGAAUCGUAGACUACACUCAGAGUCGUAGAGUCUACUGAUCGUAUCAAAGGCAGAGAUCGUAGUCGAGCAAGAUCAGAUGAAGACAACAAGCACAACGACAGAAAUCAUAGUGUCAAGAUCUGAUCUCGGAGUCGUAGUGUCUGCACAGCCGAAGCUGAAUCGUAGAGUGUAGAACUAAGACUUCAACAAAUGUGCUCACAAAGCCAAGGCAGAAUCGUAGAGCAAAUACGAUUCUCUAUAAAUGAGCACUCCCAUAAUAUCCAAAGGAAUGAAGCCUCUGGUUGAUACUGCAAAGAUACAUCUCACCUAAAGGAAGCCAGAGAGCACUCAAUGAAUGUCAUACAAGCUAAUAGAAGAUCUAAGCAUAAACCCAAUCAACAUCCAGAUUAAGUUGUGAAGCCAUUCAAGAUGUAGUCUUCCACAAGAUGAUCAUAAGAAGACUUCAGUAGCUGACUAAGGAAAGUCAACAUAUGCAGUAGUUGUUAAGUGGAAAGAUGACAACGAUCUUGGAAGUAACCAGGAUCGUAGUGUUUGCCAAAUAAAGAAGGAACUAAUGGAGUAUAGACAAAGAUAAUGGUCAGCCUCUGAAGAACAAGGCUAAAGUGAUUAAGCAUUGGGUCAGUCCAUUGAUGAUAAGUGAACGGGAGAUCACAAGGAGAAAGUGAGCUGGACACGCCACAAAUCUGAAGUGUGUUGUUAUUCAGAAGGGGCAAGAGCAAGGAAUCAAGCAAUCAGUAUCGGAGAAUAUUCGAGGCAAACAAAAGUAAUGAAGCACUGCACGAAAGAAGGAAGAGUUGUUCUUCACUAAAGAUCAAGUGAACACUCUCCAAGAUCGUAGUGUUAAUUCUAUACGUCAAAAAGCAAGUCAACAAGACACUACGAUCAGGUCCAAGAAGAUAUGAAUCAGAAUUGUAGAGUUUGAACAGCUGAAGAUUGAGGCAUUGACAACGGCUUAAUCUGAAGAUUGAUAUUCGAAUAGAGCUUAUUGAGAGCAUCGAUGCAAAAGGACAACUUCUGAUCAAGAAAUCAGAAGGAAGAAAUAAAGUUGACUACCUGCCCAAGACAUAAAAGUGACAUCUAUGAUGGGGUAGGUGAAAUAGUAGAUUGCAGUGUCAAAAACUCAGAAAAAGGUGUCAUGUGACAUCUGCAGUCAGCACCAAAUAACUCAAGAUCUGUGAAGCAAUUUGAAUAGCUUUCAACGGCUACCUUCCAACGGGAAGAUUGGAAAGUAGUAUAAAUCGACAGAGCUUCAAAGAUCAAGAGUUGCUGAAGAUUGCUAUGUUGCAGAAUCGCUGAGUUGUUGAAUGCUAUUGUUGACUCUACGAGUUCCACCAAAGAUCAACAGAACAAGUCUCAGUGACAGUGAGACUACAUAGGUGGAAGUGAAGCAACUUUGAAGAAGGACUAAAACACACUAGAGCUUCCCUCCACAAAGAUGAGAAAGCCACUGAAGAUGGCAGCCAAGCUGAGAGCCGAGAAGGCCAAGAAGAUAACAUUCAGAAAAGUGGCAGAGUACAAAGAAGAUCAGGAGAACCACUCUACGAAUCACCAUGAACCUAAAGCUGAAAUCGAACAAGUGCAGAACCAUGUCUAUAAAACAUUAAAUAAGGGUUCAGCGAUUGCUAAGUGCCAGAAAAAAAACUCAGGGACUUAGCAAAUCCAGAUGGUGAUGGUGUACAGCUGACAUCAGAUGAAGAUGAACAGAAAAGAGUAAAGAUCAGCUGCACCAAAGAAGAUGUGGUUCAGACUUAAAGCGGAAUGCUAAGACCACCACACCAAGCUGCUAAGUACAGAAGAUGUUUAGAGCUUAAAGACAUCUUAGCAGCUCAGCACCGACAACAUCAACAACUACAACAACAAGACGCCAGAGCCUGAGGGGUCCUUGUUCGGAGGGACUAAAUGAAGUUUCCAAGCCUGCUGGGCUUGAAGAGUUCCUAGGGAACUAGAGAAGUUCCAAGACUGCUGGCCUUGAAGAGUUCUUAGUGAACUGAAGUCCCAAGGCUGCUGGCCUUGAACGAAUCUUAGUGAUUCAGGGUGCUGCCCUUCCUUAGUGGAAAUCCUACUAGUUGAAAGCAGAAGAAUGGAUUAGGAGCUUGAGUCUCUGAACCACUUAAAACCCCUUGUGUCUUUUACUUUAUGUCAUUUACUUUAUGUACAUUAACUACAAUAACUACUAUGUAUGUUUUAACUGCUUACUGCUGAAUUAACUCUACGAACAAUGUAUGUCUGAUUAUGAAUAUAUCAAUGAAGGGGAUCUUUUACUUAUUCCUUUUUGCUUGAAAAGAUUCUUAUGUUUGUCAUAUGCUAAUUCAUGAGCAAUACAAAAUAAAUGAGAAAAGUUUUUCAAAUCGAAAAAGGAUCUAUUCAACCCCCCUUUCUAGAUCUAUAUUGUUCCUACUGGGAACUAACAAUUUGUAUCGGAAUAGGUUCUCAUGCUAUAUUCAAAAGCUAAUCGCUUUGAGUCUGAUCCUAGGCACAAACAUUAUUCUAAACUUAGUUUAGUAGUAAGUCACUUGUUAUAUGCAGAUGAGCUCACACAUUGGAAAUAUUGUGUGCAGGUAAAUGUGCAUAUACACCUAAAGCUGCUCAGAUUGGUCCAUGUUCUUGACUGUCAUAUCAACAAGACCAAUCCUUUUAUGCGGUCAAUCUUGUAGUCUGAAGACUAGGCUAGAAAGCUCAGGAGACAUCAACAGAAAAGAAUCAAACAUCCAUCAGCCUGAAAAGAUGAAAAGGCCAUACAUGCUAAGUAAUGCUUCUCCAGAGAAGAAAGAAGAACUUCUCAAACAUGUGUUUGGCCAACCUGUAGCUGGAUGUAAACCUUGUGAACUCAAGGAUGUCAAAGAAUUAAAGAUGCUGAUAUUCUCUUAGCUUGCAUCUUCAAGACCACUACUGAUUGAUUGAAGGUCAACUGAAGCAGCUGGCUGUCAGGAGAAAUUGAGAAACUAUGCACAUCAAUGCCUAAACUUAGUAUAUCUUAGAUAAAUGACUGAUAAGAAACUGACAGUAAAAAGGUACAGUUCCUCACUUAUAUAAAUAUGUACAUCAUGAUUGCACUCCUUAUGAACUAUAAUAGUAUUCUUUCAAGGAACCAUAAUCUACCUACAAAAGUGAGGAGAGAAAGUACACUAAGGGUGGAAACUCAAAUGCCUAUAAACUUUCUCUCCAUCCAAGUUUUAGGUUGAAGAUGAUAUCUUGAAAGAAAUUUGAAAUGGGUCAUAAUAGCAUCACAGGUUAAAAUAAUUUUAUGUGUAGUAAUCUUCACUGAUGGGUUAGUAUGUAUGUAUAACCUAUGGUCUAAGUGUUUAAUAACACACAAAGUAUGAUCAGUUCUACAAGAGCAUAUUGAAGAUUCGUAGAAACUGAUCACCUCCAUGAACUAACCAGAUACAAAUAAAUUGCAGAGUUGAUUCUCACUCUGUGAACAUUUAAACUCUAUGAACAUAACCUAGCAAAUGAUGAAACCAUCAAAGAAAAAGAGUGUUUAUUAAAAUAGCAAAUCUCACACACACUCACCAUCAUGCAUCUCAAAAUGUAUUAUCUAACUUAGUUACAUGCAUGAAUAUGACUGUUGGUGAUCAAUAUGAUGAUUAUCCAAAUAUAUGAGGAACAGGGGUUUAGAAAACUAACCUAGCAAGACCCAUAUAACCAUGGGUACCAAAAAUAGAAAUUUAUAACCUGUAGGUACCUGGUCCAUCUGACCACACUAAGGAAUGUUGAAGCAGAAGAUUUCAGUCAAGAAAUUUCAACCAGCAGAAGGCUCAAGACCGUUCAGAAAUGAUUCUGAUAAAACUCCUAUAUGUCAAAGCCUGUCCUGGAAGACUUGUUGAGCUAAUCUGAAUGAAGCUCUCAUUGUUGCUGAUCCUUAUAAGGAAACAAGUCAUUCAACUAAAGAUGUAAAAGGUUCUUAGAUGCUCAAUCAUUUAAAGCAUGUCAUAAGAGAAGAAUCCUCACGAAGCUCACCAUAGAGGAUCAUUGAGCAUCAAACAUGAGGAACUCAUUACAGGAGAAGAAGUCCACAAGUACAAACUGUAAAAGAAGACUACGUUCAUAGUGCUGUCAAAGGAUCGUAGAAUGAUCAACCCUGAAGAUGCCCAUUUCUACGAUAUAAGAAAAUUUAAUGAUUUCAGUCAGUAGGAGAUAUGUAGGGAUGCUUCCUAAUGUACAUGAAGAAAAAGAAAUCACACCUCACUUAAAAGAUAUCAUCAACCAUGGGGGAGCAGUGAUCUGUUAAGAAAAAACAACACUGAAAUAUUCUAUAAAGCAAUAUACCAGGUACAGAGUCCCAAAACUUUGUGGUUGAUGAACCAAAUGAAGAUCCAUAGUAAGUAGGAACGUCUCAAAACGUACUAUUGAUAACCUAUCAGCCACCCAACUUAAAAUCGUGGAGUGCCUACGAUCAAACAUCUGAUCGUAGUGUAAAAGUAGGAGGACACCACGAUUACAGAAAAUGCAAUUGUCUAAAGUUGAUAAAGGACCUCCCCAUCAGAGAAGGUCAAAUGAGCUAUCAGUGCAAAUUACUUCUGAAGUACUUCAUCUGGAAAGCGCCUCAAGGACAAACCUGAUCCUUAGCUCACUCUAAGAGGUUGGCCCUUCCUGAGCUACCUUAACCCAGAAGGAUUGCUUGAUCAAGUUUAUCUUAAGGACCAAGACAAUCAAUGAUCGUAAAGUAGAAUUUGAAAAGAACUCAACGAUCGUGAUAUAAACUCAACGAUCGUAAUAUAAGCUCAAUGAUCGUAGUGCAACCUCAGCGAUCGUAGAAACAGACUCAACGAUCGCAGUCUUACAAGAGGUUACUCUAACGAAUGAGGAGCCUGAAAGAAUGGGAUAAAUUGCUCAACCAGUCAGAUUAUGGGGAGACCAGUUCGAAUGCUGAUUGGAAAGAUGUCUUGCUGAAGAAAAAUGCCUAAGGUUUCAUGAAGUACGUAAGUGGUUGAGGCAUACAGUUUCAAA
rnacentral:lncRNA from 1 species